rnacentral:tRNA from 1 species
AUCUAAAUAGCUUAUAAAGAGCAUGGCAUUGAAGAUGCUAAGGAGAUUUUAUUAAUUUUUAGAUA